GACGAACGCUGGCGGCGUGCUUAACACAUGCAAGUCGAACGGAAAGGCCCUGCUUUUGUGGGGUGCUCGAGUGGCGAACGGGUGAGUAACACGUGAGUAACCUGCCCUUGACUUUGGGAUAACUUCAGGAAACUGGGGCUACUACCGGAUAGGAGCUCCUGCUGCAUGGUGGGGGUUGGAAAGUUUCGGCGGUUGGGGAUGGACUCGCGGCUUAUCAGCUUGUUGGUGGGGUAGUGGCUUACCAAGGCUUUGACGGGUAGCCGGCCUGAGAGGGUGACCGGCCACAAGGGGACUGAGAUACGGCGCAGACUCCUACGGGAGGCAGCAGUGGGGAAUAUGGCACAAUGGGCGGAAGCCUGAUGCAGCAACGCCGCGUGCGGGAUGACGGCCUUCGGGUUGUAAACCGCUGUAGCCUGUGACGAAGCGUGAGUGACGGUAAUGGGUAAAGAAGCACCGGCUAACUACGUG
rnacentral:rRNA from 1 species